CUUUACUUUUACCAGAUCAACCAUUCUUGAGGAUAACGGAAGAGCCACAGCACUACUUUCGGUUCCGCUAUCGGAGUGAAAUGGUCGGCACCCAUGGUUGCUUGCUUGGAGAAUCUAGCAGUACCAGCAAAUCCAAAACUCAUCCUACAGUAGAGCUAGCGAAUUACAAGGGGCGUGCGAUCAUACGGUGUCGUUUGGCCCAAAAGAAAUCCCCUGAAGAGCACCCCCAUAAGCUACUCGAAGAAGAACAAGAUAGAGAUGUUAGUUACGAAGUGCCUGAAAAUGGAAGUUAUAAAGUGGGUUUUGCUGGCAUGGGAAUAAUACACACAGCAAAAAAAGAUGUUCCUGGGUUGCUUUUUAAAAAAUAUUCAGAAACAUUGACAAACAGGAAUGUAGAUUUGAAAGAGCUCCGCAUGCAUUGCGAGAACGAGGCGAAGAGUAUAGAUCUCAACAUCGUGCGACUGAGGUUCAGCGCUCACGACCUCUUAACUAACAAAGAGAUCUGCCCACCGGUGUUUUCAAAACCUAUACACAACUUGAAAAGUGCUGCCACCAAUGAUUUGAAGAUCACCCGCGCGAGCCGCUCAUGCGGACGCGCCAGCGGCAAUGAAGAUGUAUUCUUGCUCGUGGAAAAAGUCAAUAAAAAAAACGUUUUGGUCAGACUGUUUGAACUGAACGACAGUGGAGAGGUAGUUUGGACAGCAAAUGGACGUUUCUUGCAGAGCGAUGUACACCAUCAAUACGCUAUUGUAUUUAGUACCCCCCCAUACAAGGAUAAAAACAUAACGAGCGCCAAGAAGGUGUACAUAGAACUAGUGCGGCCUUCCGAUGGGCGCACGAGCGAGCCGAAGGAGUUCGAAUACAAACCGGAGAAGUAUGGCGGACGGUCUAACACACCCGGAAAGAAAAGGAAGGCGAAUUCUCCAUAUUCAUCCUACAGCUCAUCGAAUUCCCUCAAAAGCAACGGCGAAGUGCCAGCUACCGUUCUAUUGUACAUGAAUCAACACGCCAAUGAAAAUGCUAAUGAUAAUCUGGUUCAUGACGUGCAGAUGUGUACUAUACCUCAGCUGCCUCAAAUACCGCACGCGUCGCCUAGUAGCUCAAGCGACCUCGGCGAAGCGAUACUAUACGGAAUGCGCGCGGAAGGCAGUCCCUCCACCCAGUUCUAUGAUAGCCCCAUGAUGCCUCAAGGUGUGGCUGACCCACCAGACCUACAGCUGAACUCUACGGAACUGGAUCGCCUCUUAAAAGACAACCCCAGCAUCCCGGCUGAAGAAAAGGAACGCUUCUGCAAAGCUGACUGGUCUGAAUAUCUAAAGUUCACCGACAGUGUGACGGACAUCGGAGAAACACACGGCUCAUCCUACAGUAUAGAUAUCGUGCGUUCUUUGUUGUCUAGUGACUCCGGGAAAGGAAACAGCUCAAAUGAAACGGGAUCAAAGCAACGAAUUGGUGAAAAGGAAGAAAAGAUAUCAAAUCCCGUGGACAAACCCAAAGGCAUUGGUGAAUAUACUGCUUUCUACAAAGCAGAGGAUGGGGCUGAAGUGAAAAAGCUGGUUAAGGAGUUGUGCGAGAUGAUAAGGGACAAAUCAAAUGUCAAGAGGCCAAUAGUCAAAGAGAAACUUGAAAGGCUCUUCAAAAUGAGGCUGUCCAAUGGAGACACGUUUCUCCAUAUGACAUUGUGCAGCAAGCAGCCAAGCCUGGAUUACAUUGUCAAGCUCAUCCAUAGUAUGAAGAUGCCCCAUUUGCUCAAUUUGACGAACAAUCAGUCGCAAACUAUUCUACAUUUAGCCGUGGUGUAUGAUAUGCCGAAAACCGUGUCUUUCCUUGUAUCUAAAGGGUGCAACCCAAUGAUCGAGGACAGCGAAGGCAACAACGUGAUACAUUACGCCGUGAUUUACCAGAACUCUUUGGAACCACUACUCACUGCGCUCAAGAGCAAUAACGUACCGUACGAUCUCGACGCUUGCAACAACGAGAAACAAACGCCCCUGCACUUGGCGGUCAUAUACAAGAGCGACGAGAGCGCUCGCAUACUUCUGGCAGGCGGAGCCGGCUGUGGGACACGCGACGCUGCGGGACGCACGGCCCUACACUUGGCCGCGUUAGACGAUUGCCUGCCCGUCGCCGCGCUGCUGCUGGGACACAUGCACCCGGGUGAAGUGGACGCCAUCAACGGGAGCGGCUACACAGCGUUACAAGCUGCUUGCGACGGCGAGAUGAGAGAGAACACUCUCGCCAUGGUCGAGCUGCUGCUUGAGAAGGGAGCAAACCCGCUGAAGCGCGAAGAAUACGGCGCCUCAGCGUGGCAGCUUGCCAUAGACAAGCCGGCUGUGCGUGACGCGAUGCGCGCGCGCGUGCCCGAGCCCCCGCUAGACGACGACGUCAAGUCCGAGCCCGACGACGAGCCCGAAGACGAGUUCGAGUCCGCGGACGAAGGCGAGGCAUGCGGCCUGUCAGACCUGCCUCUAUACGUGGAGGAGCUAUCGCGCGCGCUGGACGCCAGCGGCGGCUGGAGGGCGCUGGCGUCACACCUGGAACUAGAGGCGCUGCACUCCUGGUACUCCAACACGCGCAGCCCGGCGCGCACGCUGCUCUACCACGUCAAGGUACCGACGCUACAGCGGCUGCAGGCGCUGGCUCGCACCUGGAACUAGAGGCGCUGCACUCCUGGUACUCCAACACGCGCAGCCCGGCGCGCACGCUGCUCUACCACGUCAAGGAGUGCGGAGAAAAUAAUGUAACGUCGAGGACUCUAGCUCUGGUUCUUGAGAAGAUAGGCCAGAAUGAAGCAGCAAAAAUUAUUAGAAAAUACUGUGACUAGUGCGUGGCCAAAGACCUCUGUAUUGUAUAAGUUUUAGAUUUUUAUGACUCAAAUUGGUUGCCAGAAUGUGAACUGUACGUAAUACAAGUCAGAACGACUAUUCGCCUCUUGAUUUAUUUGAUUUAUUUUUUUUAAACACUAGUAUAAUGUUGCUUAUUUCAUUAUGUUAGUUUUAUUGCAAGUUUCAGUUUACCACUUUGCUACUAUAUAAGGUAAACAUAUAGUUUCGUUAUUAUGUUAGUUCGUGCUAAUUGUAGAACUUUUCCUUUUUCUUUCAAUCUAUAACGCAAGGAAUGGCUUACCUAUGUACAAUGCCAAUUUAUAGAAUAAGUUUAAUGUAAAAGGUUCCCGUAGAUAUUUAAUAAAAUAACUGCCACAUUUAUACAAUGUUAAAAACGACGCUGCUGGCUUUUGCCAAAGGCUAAACUGAAAAGCCUUAAAUGGUUUACUUACUGACAAACAAAACUAUUCGAACGGACAGAUUUCAUACUGAUACGAUACUACUUAAUUAUUGAUUAGUCUCGAGCAACAUUUAUAACGUAAUUUGAAUACGAUAUCUUGGCUCUGGAAAUUCUGUGAUAACAAUUCAAUUUAUCAAAGCAAUACUUUGACAAGGCCACAUUUGAUCGAUUAUACUCGCUAUAUUUUGCAAAUAAUUGUUUUACCGAACUGCAUUUAUAAGAGUGUAUGAGCUCUAAAACCAUUUACAAAAUACUACACAACUAAGGCUGCUGUUAAAAAAAUAUAGUAAAAAAAGUUCAGUGUGAUAUGUGUUGUUGUUGUGUUGUUCUUGCAAGUUCGUGGUUAAUUUCAUUCUGUAGUUGUAGUUAGUAGGCCCCUACUUAAGUUUCUACAUUUCGCACUUUAUAGAUAGG